AGUGAACACUGGCGGUAGGCCUAACACAUGCAAGUCGAACGGCAGCACAGUAAGAGCUUGCUCUUACGGGUGGCGAGUGGCGGACGGGUGAGGAAUACAUCGGAAUCUACUUUUUCGUGGGGGAUAACGUAGGGAAACUUACGCUGAUACCGCAUACGACCUACGGGUGAAAGCAGGGGAUCUUCGGACCUUGCGCGAUUGAAUGAGCCGAUGUCGGAUUAGCUAGUUGGCGGGGUAAAGGCCCACCAAGGCGACGAUCCGUAGCUGGUCUGAGAGGAUGAUCAGCCACACUGGAACUGAGACACGGUCCAGACUCCUACGGGAGGCAGCAGUGGGGAAUAUUGGACAAUGGGCGCAAGCCUGAUCCAGCCAUACCGCGUGGGUGAAGAAGGCCUUCGGGUUGUAAAGCCCUUUUGUUGGGAAAGAAAAGCAGCAGGUUAAUACCCCGCUGUUCUGACGGUACCCAAAGAAUAAGCACCGGCUAACUUCGUG
rnacentral:rRNA from 1 species